CUGGGUGGGAGGUGGUAGGAGGUCCAAGGAAGCCGAGGACACUGUCCAGCUCCUACGCCCGCGGCUUGCACACGUUCAUGCAUUCGUAUGUGUGCGCAGACGCCCACAGAAGCGGCAUGCAGGCCAGGGGUCCCAGGCCAGGGCUCAUGUGGCAGGA